rnacentral:tRNA from 1 species
AAAAAGAUAGACUAAGACUAAGUCAUUAGAUUCAUAAUCUAAAUAUAUAUUUAAUAUUCUUUUUA